rnacentral:rRNA from 1 species
UACGUAGGGGGCAAGCGUUGUCCGGAAUCAUUGGGCGUAAAGCGCGCGUAGGCGGCCCUGUAAGUCCGUUGUGAAAGUCAAAGGCUCAACCUUUGAAAGCCGAUGGAUACUGCAGGGCUAGAGUCCGGAAGAGGCGAGUGGAAUUCCUGGUGUAGCGGUGAAAUGCGCAGAUAUCAGGAGGAACACCGGUGGCGAAGGCGGGUCUCUGGGCAGUAACUGACGCUGAGAAGCGAAAGCGUGGGGAGCGAACAGG